rnacentral:rRNA from 1 species
CCUACGUGUGGCUGCAGUGGGGAAUAUUGGACAAUGGGCGAAAGCCUGAUCCAGCCAUGCCGCGUGUGUGAAGAAGGCCUUCGGGUUGUAAAGCACUUUCAGUGGGGAAGAAAGCCUUGGGGCUAAUACCCUCGAGGAAGGACAUCACCCACAGAAGAAGCACCGGCUAACUCCGUGCCAGCAGCCGCGGUAAUACGGAGGGUGCGAGCGUUAAUCGGAAUUACUGGGCGUAAAGCGCGCGUAGGCGGUCUGAUAAGCCGGUUGUGAAAGCCCCGGGCUCAACCUGGGAACGGCAUCCGGAACCGUCAGGCUAGAGGGCAGGAGAGGAAGGUAGAAUUCCCGGUGUAGCGGUGAAAUGCGUAGAGAUCGGGAGGAAUACCAGUGGCGAAGGCGGCCUUCUGGACUGACACUGACGCUGAGGUGCGAAAGCGUGGGUAGCAAACAGGAUUAGAUACCCCAGUAGUC